CUCUUUCCGCCAGCGCCCGCAGGACCCGGAUGAGAGCGCACGCUUCGGGGUCUCCGGGAAGUCGCGGCGCCUUCGGAUGUGGCGGAUGCGGCCUUCCUCCAGAUCCAGCUGGUGCCCUCGCCUGACGUUUGAACGACCACCUGCUCACCUCCUCCCUUUUGCGCGUUGAUUCUUCAGACUUCAAAGGGCCCACCGGUCUGCUUGCCCAACGUUAUUAGUGCCCCUAUUGCUCUACAAAUUCGAACCUCAAACACAAAACCAGUAUUUCUCCGUAGGGAACCUUAAUGAGCCAGGAGAGCCGUCAGCCCUGCAGCCUCCAGGGUACCCCACAUCAAACAGGCUCCCCGGGAACAAGAGGAAUACCACGUGGCUUGGCACACUCGCAGAAUGCCAGAGAGGAGCCAACCCCCAUUUUACAGAUGAGGAAGCUGAGGCUUAGGGAGGAAUUGGUUUACCUAAGACCCUCCCCACAACCCCAAG
rnacentral:lncRNA from 10 species